rnacentral:misc_RNA from 1 species
AAAAAAUAAAAAAUAAAUAAAAAUAAAUUUAUUUUAUUUCCAAAAGAUCAUAUUACAUCACUGGGCGGAUCCUCCCCAGCCCGAUCAUUAAUUACAAGUGCAUUAUCUACCAUCUACCUACAUUCUACCCAUCUUGCUUCCACAGUUCGGAUACCUCCACAGUUCGGACACCUCCCAAUCUUAAGACGCCGUUUAAGAGAUAUGUGAAGAUCGGGAGGAGAGCUCUCAUCAACUAUGAUAAAGACUACAGAAAGCUCGUUGUCAUCGCCUAUGUCACAGACCAAAACCGAGCUCUAGUCGUGGCUCCUGAGAUGGUUAGGAGCCAAAUGAACUUCAAGAAAUGGUCACCGAUAUCAAGAUUGAAAUUAGCAG